AUACGGAGGGGGCUAGCGUUGUUCGGAAUUACUGGGCGUAAAGCGCACGUAGGCGGAUUUGUUAGUCAGGGGUGAAAUCCCGGGGCCCAACCUCGGAACUGCCUUUGAUACUGCAAGUCUGGAGUCCGGAAGAGGUGGGUGGAAUUCCUAGUGUAGAGGUGAAAUUCGUAGAUAUUAGGAAGAACACCAGUGGCGAAGGCGGCUCACUGGCCCGGUACUGACGCUGAGGCGCGAAAGCGUGGGGAGCAAACAGGAUUAGAUACCCCAGUAGUCC
rnacentral:rRNA from 1 species